rnacentral:lncRNA from 1 species
UGAGUCGCCCCCAGCCCAGCCCAGAGCCUGGGCAAGCACGCCUCCAGGCCCGGCUCUAGCAUUCCCCAAACCACCGCAGCCCACCUGCCCAGGACCGAGGUGUCAGAGUAUGAAGUUCUGGCAUGUCUGUAUCUCUUCUCUCUUCUGAUGUUCAUCUUUGGUUUUGUGCCGAGACUAGGAGACCCUUUCUAGCUGAGCAUAUCAGGCGUUAGGAGCUGACCAUCCGAGAAACUUAGACGUCUCACCAGCUUCUCUCUCCCCAUCUCCCCCUACCUCCCUUUCGUUUUGACAGAGCUGGACUCGGAGGAUGCCCCUCCGUGCUGUCGUUUGGCCCUGGGGGAACCCCUUCCUUAUGGUGCUGCCCCUAUUGGUAUUCCCCGACCCCCACCCCCUCGGCCAGGGAUGCACUCACCACCACCCCGUCCUGCCCCUUCACCUGGCACCUGGGAGAGCCAGCCACCUCGGUCGGUGAGGCUGGGGGGCCCAGGAGGCACUGCGGGGGGUACUGGGGGCGGUCGUGUUCUUGAGUGUCCCAGCAUCCGGAUCACCUCUAUCUCUCCCACGCCUGACCCACCGACCUCACUAGAGGAUGCUCCUGAAACUUGGGGGGACGGCUCUCCUAGAGAUUACCCUCCACCAGAAGGCUUUGGGGGCUACCGAGAGGCUGGAGGUCAGGGCGGAGGAGCCUUCUUCAGCCCGAGCCCUGGCAGCAGCAGCCUGUCUUCGUGGAGCUUCUUCUCUGAUGCCUCAGACGAGGCAGCCCUGUAUGCAGCAUGCGACGAAGUGGAGUCUGAACUUAAUGAAGCAGCCUCUCGUUUCGGCUUGAGCUCUCCACUGCCCUCGCCCCGGGCUUCUCCUAGGCCAUGGACCCCGGAGGAUCCGUGGAGCCUAUAUGGUCCAAGCUCCGGAGGCCGAGCGCCAGAGGAUAGCUGGCUACUUCUCAGCGCUCCUGGGCCCAUCCCAGCCUCCCCUCGGCCUGCUUCUCCCUGCGGCAAGCGGCGCUAUUCCAGUUCCGGAACCCCAUCUUCGGCCUCCCCAGCUUUGUCCCGCCGGGGUAGCCUUGGGGAAGAGGGUCCAGAGCCACCUCCACCACCCCCAUUGCCUCUGGUCCGGGACCCUAGUUCCUCUGGCCCUUUUGACUAUGUGGGUGCUCCACCAACCGAGAGCGUCCCUCAGAAAACCAGGAGGACUUCUAGCGAGCAAGCAGUGGCCUUGCCUCGGUCUGAGGAGCCUGCCUCGUGCAAUGGGAAGCUGCCCUCUGGUACAGAGGACUCCGUGGCUGCUCCCGGGGCUCUGCGGAAAGAGAUGGCUGGCAUGGAUUACUUAGCAGUUCCUUCUCCCCUCGCUUGGUCCAAGGCCCGGAUUGGGGGACACAGCCCCAUCUUCAGGUGAGGGCCAGAUCUUGCACUCUUGAGCUCUUCAGCCCAUUCUAGCUGAGAGCAGGAAGGUCAAAGGAUGAGUUUAAAGACAAAUCAUAAUUCUUGGUGUUCUCUGUAUCUCAUAAGGGCUUCUUCUACAAUAGCAUGGCCACAGUUAAAACCAAAAAUUGGUUUUAAGGCAAUUUAGUUUUAGUUUAGUUUUGUUUUGUUUAAAAACAACUCUCUGACAGUGGGCUGGUCUAUAGACAGUUGCUUCCUGUGAACCUAUUAGAAAAAGCCUUUUCAGUCCCACCCUUCAGUAUCCUAAGAGAAACCGUUAGGUAAAAUGGAGUUCAGGGAUUCUUACAGCUCUGGCCUUGCACAGGCAGGUUGGUCUUAACCAUGGGCUGUUUAGACAGGACAGAUAGAACAGUCCUGCGCUCCAAUACAAGAAACCCUCCUCUAACUCUUAAUUUCUAGGUCCAGAGCAUCACUUCAAAUUGGAAUAAAGUUACAUACAUUUGCCAAGUC